CACCAAUGGUGGUUGCUGACGCUAUGCAGAGUGUCGAAAAGAAUGGAGAUGUACACGUUAGUGAAACUUGUACACCAAGCUUUCUUUAAAAGACCUCGUAUCAGGCAAGACUACCCGCUGAACUUAAGCAUAUCAAUAAGCGGAGGAAAAGAAACCAACAGGGAUUGCCCUAGUAACGGCGAGUGAAGCGGCAAAAGCCCAAAUUUGAAAUCCUCUUUUGAGGAGUUGUAAUUUGGAGAUGGAGUGCUGGACUCAGCUCUGUGGAAGUUGGCUGGAAAGCCGCGCCUUGGAGGGUGAUAGCCCCGUGCCACGGAGGUCCUGUGUCUGUGUAGUACUCUUUCUACGAGUCGCGUUGUUUGGGAAUGCAGCGCUAAGUGGGUGGUAAAUUCCAUCUAAGGCUAAAUAUUGGCGAGAGACCGAUAGCGAACAAGUACUGUAAAGGAAAGAUGAAAAGCACUUUGAAAAGAGAGUGAAAUAGCACGUGAAAUCGUUGAAGUGGAAGGGCUUAAAGCUACACACCUUCUUCGGAAGGGGCUAACAUCAGUUUUGCCGGAUGGAUAAAUGGUAAAGAAAGUGGCAUCUUCGGAUGUGUUAUAGCUUUAUCAAAUACGUCCCGGCGGGAUUGAGGACCGCGCUUUAUGCAAGGAUGUUGGCGUAAUGGUUUUAAGCCACCCGUCUUGAAACACGGACCAAGGAGUCUAUUGCUCAUGCGAGUGUUUGGGUGUUAAACUCGCAACGCGAAAUGAAAGUGAACGUAGAUUGGACCCGUUUGGUGCACAAUCGACCGAUCCUGAUGUUCUCGGAUGGAUUUGAGUAAGAGCAUGAGUGAUGGGACCCGAU
rnacentral:rRNA from 1 species